AACGAACGCUGGCGGCAUGCCUAACACAUGCAAGUCGAACGAGACCUUCGGGUGUAGUGGCGCACGGGGGCGUAAAGCGGGGGAACCGGCCCUUAGGCUCGGAAUAACUCCCCGAAAGGGGUGCUAAUGCCGGAAAAUGUCCGCGGACAAAAGAUUUAUCGCACUUGGGUGGGCACGCGUUGUAUUCGCUAGGCGGGAGCGUAAAAGCCUACCAAGGAGACGAUACCUAGCGGGUCUGAGAGGCAGAUAAGCCACUCUGGGACGGGGACGCGGCGCGGAAUCCUGCGGGAGGCAGCAGUGGGUAAUCUUGGACAACGGGCUAAAGCCUGAUCCCGCUCUGCUGCUUGAGUGAUGAAGGCCUGAGGGUUGUAAAGCUCGUUUACCCGGGAUGAUACUGACGGUACCGAGAGAAUAAGCUCCGGCUAACUCCGUG
rnacentral:rRNA from 1 species